rnacentral:rRNA from 1 species
CCUACGGGAGGCAGCAGUGGGGAAUAUUGGACAAUGGGGGAAACCCUGAUGCAGCGACGCCGCGUGAGUGAAGAAGUAUUUCGGUACGUAAAGCUCUAUCAGCAGGGAAGAAAAUGACGGUACCUGACUAAGAAGCCCCGGCUAACUACGUGCCAGCAGCCGCGGUAAUACGUAGGGGGCAAGCGUUAUCCGGAUUUACUGGGUGUAAAGGGAGCGUAGACGGCAGCGCAAGUCUGGAGUGAAAUCCCAUGGCUUAACCAUGGAACUGCUUUGGAAACUGUGCAGCUAGAGUGCAGGAGAGGUAAGCGGAAUUCCUAGUGUAGCGGUGAAAUGCGUAGAUAUUAGGAGGAACACCAGUGGCGAAGGCGGCUUACUGGACUGUAACUGACGUUGAGGCUCGAAAGCGUGGGGAGCAAACAGGAUUAGAUACCCCAGUAGUC